GACGAACGCUGGCGGCGUGCUUAACACAUGCAAGUCGAACGGAAAGGGCCUGCGUAUUUGUGGGGCGCGAGUGGCGAACGGGUGAGUAACACGGGAGUGACCUGCCCUUGACUUUGGGAGAACUUCAGGAAACUGGGGCUAAUACCGGAUAGGAGCUCCUGCUGCAUGGUGGGGGUUGGAAAGUUUCGGCGGUUGGGGAUGGACUCGCGGCUGAGCAGCUUGUUGGUGGGGUAGUGGCUUACCAAGGCUUUGACGGGUAGCCGGCCUGAGGGGGUGACCGGCCACAUUGGGACUGAGAUACGGCCCAGACUCCUACGGGGGGCAGCAGUGGGGAAUAUUGCACAAUGGGCGGCAGCCUGAUGCAGCAACGCCGCGUGCGGGAUGACGGCCUUCGGGUUGUAAACCGCUUUCGCCUGUGACGACGCGUCAGUGAAGGUAAUGGGUCAAGAAGCACCGGCUAACUACGUG
rnacentral:rRNA from 1 species